AACCCCAACCCCAAACCCUAGCCGCCGGGGAGCUCGUCUGGGCCAAGACCAAGGGCCGACACCACUGGUGGCCCGCGCGCCUCCACGCCCCAUCCUCUGAAUCCCCCCUCGUCUCCUCCCUCGGCGCCGAGUACUCCGACGACCACCGCCCCGCCGUCGCCGUCAAGCCCUUCCUCGCCGCCCCCGACGCCGACGCCCUCGCAACCGCCAACAAAGGCCUCGCCUUUGUCGCCGCCGUCGCCCACGCCAGGGCCACCGCCGUCGCCAUCCUCUGCGACGCCCUCACCUGCCCCUGCGCCCGCGGCCCCCAAGAAUCAUCCCAGGCCGACGACAACAACAAGGUCGUCAUCACCGCCGUCUCCAACCUCCUCGAGCCCCGCGAGUUCCUCGCCGCGCUCCGCAGCGCGGCCGUCGACGCCCCCGCCCUCGGCCUGCUGGACCACGCCCGCCUCAAGACCUGGGUCCAGGCGCUCGCCCAGGGAUGGGGCCCCGACGGCCCGGGCCGCUACCAGCGCCGCACCAAAGACGACCUCAUCGACAAGAUUGAUCUCGACAUGCUGGCCGACGACGGUGCUGCCUCUGAAGAGGAUGAGGAGGAGAAGAAGAAGGCCGUGGUGCAGCACAAGACGCCCAAGCAGAGAAAGAAGCGCACCAAAACCCCCACUCCAAAGGACAAGGAGGAGGAGGAGGAGGACAAAGCCGAGAUGGCACACAAGACCCCCAAGCAGACAAGGAGGCCCGCCAAAGCCUCGCUCAUGGACUCCGAGGAGGAGGAGGAGCAGAAACUCAGCAGCCAGAACAAGGCCGAGAGCGGCACUGCCCUCUCCGGGAGGCGCGAGCGCAAGAAGAGCAAGUAUCUCUCGCCGCCCUACACCAACAUCGGCGUCUUUGCUCUUGAGGACAAGUCAGAUGAUUCGCCAAAGAAAUCGCCGCCCGCCAGAGCUGCUAACAAGGAUGAGAGCAAGUAUAACAAGGGGUCACCGGAUGAGAAGCACAAGAAGAAGAGCAAGGUGGUGGUACCGCCGCCGCUUCCGCUUCCGCUGGACAAUGUUGCUGCUCAGGAGGUCCUGCUGCUGCUGCGCUGCUUCGGGGAGGACGUCUCUCACAAGAGGCACUUCCCCAAGGCCGCGGAGGACUUCCUUGGCCUGCUUAGGAGCUCCGUGUUUGCCGAGGGUGCUCACCAUGACUCCUACAAGGACCAUGAAUGCUCACACAUUCCCAAGAAUGCUGCUGUUGAGAAAGCUGCUGCUGCUGCAGAUGUCCUGGUUUCAGAUUCAGCUGCUACUCCCAAACAAGGCAAGGGUAAGCGUGGUAGAAAGAAGAAGGAUCAGGAUGGCAGUGCCGAUUCUUCUUCUAUCAACAACAACAACAAGAAGAAGAAGAAGAAGAAGACGGCCGCUCUUGACUGUGCAGCGGAGGAUGCUUCUGAGGAGAAUAAGAAAGAGGAGAAUGUUUCUGACAAGAAGAAGAGGGGCAGAAAGAAGAAGGAGCAGGAGCAGGAUGGAACCUCCCCAAAAGGCUCUGUUAUCAACAAGAGGAAGAAGAUUGACAAAACCUCCCCAAAAGCAACUCUUGGGCCUGCCUCUGCCUCUGCCUCUGGCUCUGGCUCUGGCUUGGUUAUCACGCCCGCCAUUCCUAUCAGGCAGGUGAGUGCUGAGGAUAUCAUGAGCCAAGUCAAACCAGGCAUGGGAGCUGGGGUUCCUGAUCCCAAGAUGAAGAACAGCUUGUUGGUGUCAAAGAGCCCUAUUUCAGCUACAAUGUCUGGAGGAGUAAAAUCAGGAGAGGAGCAGGAGCAAGGGGACGGUGGAUCCGUUGUGAAUGCUUCAUCUGACCAAUCUGCCAAAAAGAAUGAGGAGGAAGCAACAAAGCCAGCAACUGAUAUGAAUGUGGACGGAGAUGUGCCCCAGACUCAAGUUACAAUGCCUGUGAAUGUGGAUAUGAACGUGGAUACUACUCUUAGCCAAGAUGUUGCUGCCAAACAUCAGGCUGAUGUUAAAAUGCCUGAAGCUGCUGGUAUGAAUGUGGAUAUUCUUAACGCAGAUGUUGCUGCCGCAAGUGCCCAGGCACAAGUGAUGACUCUGCCUGAAACUGGUGGUAUUCAGUUAUUAGAUAUGAAUGUGGAAAGUGUUGUAGAUGUGCCUGUCGUCACAAGUGUCGAGAUGGAAGCCAUGGAGCUGGAAGCUAGUAUUCCUGUACUAGAUAUAAAUGAACAAGUUGCUGCUGUUGAAGAUGUGCCUGCUACAAGUGGCUUGCUUCCACCUAUCAUCCAUGGAGAUAUCAUAUCCCAGCCCGCCGAUGAAAACAAAGACAAAAACGCAAGUGUGCAAGUUCGUGCAGUUCAAGAGUCAUACACAUCUCUGAUUCAGGCGAUGCUGCCGGAAACGUACAAGAAAGUGGAGGAGGUCGCUGCUGGAGCAGGUGCCGUCGCGGCGCCUCAAGGUGAUGAGACUCAAAAGGUUGAAGAGACUAGCCAGAACAAGGCAGUUGCUGCAAAAGGUAGUGGUGGUGCUACCAAUGGGAGCCCCUGCCCUCCUGAUGCGCCCAACUCUGCCCACAAGAGGAGAAACAAGAAGCCCGCAGCAGCAGCAUACUUUGCCAACCCAGCAGAGAUCCGGGUGAAAUUCUUGGACGGCACCAUGGUCCCCACCAAGGAGGAGCUGCUCUCAGAGUUCCGCAGGUUUGGCGUCCUGGUGGAGUCGGAGUGCGACAUAUCAGAAGAGCGCCGCGACGCGCGCGUGGUGUUUGGGAAGAGCACCGAGGCAGAGGCGGCCUACACCAAGGCGGAGAUCCCAGGCAUCUUCGGGCAGUUCGGGCCCCCCUGGGCCACCCUGGGGCUCAACUACCUGGAGGCGAUCACGCUUGCGCCUGCCCGUCCCGCCAAGCCCCUGCUGGCUCGUGCCGACAUGAGGAAGAACGUGGAGAACAUGAUCUCGUCCCUGAAGAACGGGCGGUCUUUGCCGCUCAACGUUGGAGCGGCGGCGUUCCCAGCCGCUCCCGCUCCCGCUGGAGGAGGAGCGGCGCCCGUGUCGGCGAGCCUCCUUGCUGAGAUGCAGCGGCUCCUGUCCAAGCUUGACAAGACGCAGCCCCCCCCUGGGCCUUCGGGCUCGGCUCCUCCUCCGUCGUCGUAGGCCUUCCCUGCCUGCAUGCCGUAGUGAUGGAUGGAUCCAUGGAUGGAGCUUGUGUUGCUGCUCCCUAGCUUAGCUAGCUAGUUAGUGAACUACUUGUUUUAUAUUUUCGGUCUAGGCAUGAACGCACGCACUCGCAUAUGCUGGCUGUCUUUUGUUGAUUAUUACUUACUACAUUAGAGAUGCUGCCGCUGUUGCUUUUAUUAUUUCCAGUCGAGUUGAUGAUGUAGUAGCCAGAUGAACUAGAUGUAUGGAUGGC
rnacentral:rRNA from 1 species